UACGUAGGGGGCAAGCGUUGUCCGGAUUUAUUGGGCGUAAAGAGCGUGUAGGCGGCUUUACAGGUCCGUUGUGAAAACUCGAGGCUCAACCUCGUGCCUGCAGUGGGUACGGGCAGACUAGAGUGCGGUAGGGGAGAUUGGAAUUCCUGGUGUAGCGGUGGAAUGCGCAGAUAUCAGGAGGAACACCAAUGGCGAAGGCAGAUCUCUGGGCCGUAACUGACGCUGAGGAGCGAAAGCAUGGGGAGCGAACAGG
rnacentral:rRNA from 1 species